rnacentral:snoRNA from 1 species
UAUUGUGAUGAUAAAUUCUCAGACCUGUACCGACCCCUAAAGGGGUGUGCGGAUACUCUAUAUUGCCUUUUAAUCUGAUC